rnacentral:antisense_RNA from 1 species
GGGUACCGGGAGAGCAGCGCGCCGCGGCCCCUCGCCUCCCUCAGAGCGCUCCGCACCGCCGUCCCCACCGACCUUCAGCGGGGCCGGGGCCAGGCUCCGACCGCCAGCAGUUGGCUCCUCCGUGCAGUCCCGGGUAGAGAGCCCGGUUCCUGCGCUAGUCGAUUUGUGCAGUAGGAAAGGAGGCUGCAGGGGAUCUGCGCUGGGGCAGGACAGCUGCCUUUCGGGACCCAGUGCUUGCAUCUUGGGAGAUGUGGGUGCUGAUCUGGUUGUUUCUUGGUUUAUGACGCAAAGAAGGGCGGGUGGGGGCUGAUGAAGUGAAGCCUUUCGCUAAUACAUUCCAUUAACAGAA